UGUGACCUCAAAUCAGGUAGGACUACCCGCUGAACUUAAGCAUAUCAAUAAGCGGAGGAAAAGAAACUAACAAGGAUUCCCCUAGUAACUGCGAGUGAAGCGGGAAAAGCUCAAAUUUAAAAUCUGGCGGUCUUUUGGCUGUCCGAGUUGUAAUCUAGAGAAGUGUUAUCCGCGCUGGACCGUGUACAAGUCUCCUGGAAUGGAGCAUCAUAGAGGGUGAGAAUCCCGUCUUUGACAUGGACUGCCAGGGCUUUGUGAUGCGCUCUCAAAGAGUCGAGUUGUUUGGGAAUGCAGCUCAAAAUGGGUGGUAAAUUCCAUCUAAAGCUAAAUAUUGGCGAGAGACCGAUAGCGAACAAGUACCGUGAGGGAAAGAUGAAAAGAACUUUGGAAAGAGAGUUAAACAGUACGUGAAAUUGCUGAAAGGGAAACGCUUGAAGUCAGUCGCGUCAUCCAGGGAUCAACCUUGCUUUUGCUUGGUGCACUUCCUGGUUUGAUGGGUCAGCAUCAAUUUUGACUAUUGGAAAAAGGCUGAGGGAAUGUGGCAUCUUCGGAUGUGUUAUAGCCCUUGGUCGCAUACAAUGGUUGGGAUUGAGGAACUCAGC
rnacentral:rRNA from 2 species